UAGAGACACCGGCAUUAAGAUCAAGUUGUACUUUCUUUAGCACGGGUGCCUUGGCCAUGACGAGUUUCACAAGAUCCAUUCCAAGAGUAGCGGGCAAUUGGAGAGGAACCGUUGAAGCAUUUUAGCAGAAACCACAACAUUCAUAAAGACUAUACUCCUCAAGCUACUAAAUCCAUUAAAAGUUGAUGGAGGUUCAAGACCACAAUUUUGGAGAUGUAUAUGUUCUAAUCCUUGCACCGAAAAGAAAGAAAGAAAGGGGUAGGUUGUAGUAGCCGUCUUCAAUAGUUAAGGUGAGAUCUUUCACAGUAUUAUUUCGCGUUGAGAGAUGACUUAUUAUCGGGUCAAACUCGGAUAACAUUUCAAGUUUAACUGACCCCUUGAGCUCAAGUAUUGUCGGACCAUUGUGUAAUAACAAAACAUGGAAGAUGGCAUUGACAACCU